AUGAGGUUGUCGUCGAUGGCAAACGCGACGCUCUUCAUCGCUGCCGUUGUCCUCUUCCUCGCCGUCAAGGACAGCCAUUGCGCGCAAUUGUGCAUGGACUCGACCUUCCCAAGGCCGGUCAACGGUUCCCUUUCCUUCUGCGGCUACAAUGGCACCGCUUGCUGCAACGCGACGGACGACGCCGCGGUCCGGCAGCGGUUUGCCGCCAUGAACAUCUCAGGCACGCCGUGCGGCCACCUUGUCAAGUCCAUCCUUUGCGCGAGAUGCAACCCGUACGCCGGCGAGCUCUUCACCGUCGAAAAAAGCCCUCGGACGGUGCCACUGCUAUGCAAUUCCACCGCGACGGGGUACUGCGCGCAGGUGUGGGACACCUGCAAGGACGUCUCCAUCCCGGGCUCCCCGUUCCAGCCGCCCAAGGGCGGCGCGUCGGCGCUGAAGCUCACCGAGGUGUGGCAGUCGGAGGGCGACUUCUGCGGCGCGCUAGGCGGCGGACCCAUCUGCUUCGACGGCGAGGCCGCAGCGUUCAAUGCCACCCGCGUCGUGCCGCCGGUGAACGGCAUGUGCCUGGAGCGCCUCAGCAACGGCUCGUACCUCAACAUGGCGGCGCACCCGGACGGCUCCAACCGCGUGUUCCUCAACAACCAGGCCGGCAAGGUGUUCCUCGCCACCGUGCCCCCGCACGGCUCCGGCAAGCCGCUUGAGCUGGACGUGUCCAACCCGUUCCUCGACAUCACCGACGAGGUGCACUUCGACAACGAGUUCGGCCUCCUCGGCAUGGCCUUCCACCCGGACUUCGACAAGAACGGCCGCUUCUUCGUCUCCUACAGCUGCGACAAAACGCAGUCGGCGUCGUGCUCAGGCAGGUGCGCCUGCAACUCCGACAUCGGGUGCGACCCGUCCAAGCUCGGCGCGGACAACGGCGCGCAGCCGUGCCAGUACCAGAGCGUCAUCGCCGAGUACACCGCCAAUACCUCCUCCGGCUCGCCUUCGACGGCGACCUCCGCAAACCCGACGGAGGCGAGGCGGAUCAUGACGCUCGGGUUGCCGUUCACCACCCACCACGGCGGGCAGAUCCUCUUCAGCCCGGGAGACGGCUACAUGUACUUCAUGAUGGGCGACGGCGGCAACGUUGGCGACCCGUGGAACUUCGCGCAGAACAAGGGGACCCUGCUCGGGAAGAUCAUCCGGAUCGACGUCAACAACAUGCCAACUGGUAACAGCACUCCCGGUUGGGGCAACUACGGUAUCCCCAAGGACAACCCGUUCUCCGUGGACCCCAAGUUCGCGCCGGAGGUCUUCGCUUUGGGCUUCAAGAACCCGUGGCGUUGCAGCUUCGACUCCGGCAAGCCAUCCUACUUCUUUUGUGCCGAUGUCGGCCAGUCUCUGUACGAGGAGGUCAGCCUGGUGGUGAAAGGCGGGAACUACGGGUGGCGCGUGUUCGAGGGAGACCAAUCGUACCCAGCACUAUCAACUCCCGGAGGGAACACCUCGGCCGACUCCAUCAACGCCAUCUCGCCCGUCAUGGGUUACGCCCACAACACCGUCAACAACAAUGUUGGCUCCGCCUCCAUCGCCGGCGGCUAUGUCUACCGCUCUAUGACUAACCCUUGCCUCAACGGCAGGUACAUCUACGCGGACCUAUACGCACAGUCGAUGUGGUCGGGGAUUGAGAUACCGGAGAACAGUGGAGUGUACAAUGUGACACCAUUUAGGUUCGCUUGCUCCGCGGCAUCGCCAAUCCCAUGUGAUGUCGCGGCCAAGAGCCCACUGCCCUCGCUCGGCUACAUCUUCUCCUUCGGCGAGGAUAGCGCCAAGGACUUAUACCUGCUCACCAGCAAGGGCGUGUACAGGGUAGUCGAUCCCAACAGCUGCAACUAUGCAUGCCCGAUAAAGAGCUCCGCGGAGGUAGGGGUGCCCCCAUCUGCAGCAUCGCCGAGCUCCGCAUUCAAUGUGCAAAGUUCCACCCUGACAACAAUGUUGUUGGUAGGAGUGUUACUUGUCUUGUCGAGCUUGGGUUUUUGA
rnacentral:rRNA from 1 species